UGGCGGUCUCUGUUGGAGCCGAGUAGCUGACUGUCGCAUCACCGUGCGUUUACGCUAGUCCGUAAUGUUCCACAAGUGAUUUCGGCCCACGACUGUGUACUUUCGUCUGAGAAGAAAUUCAGACGUGGCUUCCGGGAAACGUGAGAUAGAAGAAAGAGGAAGAGCCAACAAGAAUUAUUCAUAGCAGUGCAGAACAUAGUGUAUCGAGAACUGUCAAGACACCGCCACGACAGAACAAUAGCUUCGUCAAAGUGAUCGCAGCGACGGCAACCCUUCCUCGGUCAGGCGCCCCUGCACUGACGGUUCCGCUCCGAGAAAGAAGCUGCUAGAACGGUAAAUCACCAUAAGGCACAGAUGGCUGGCCUGCGGCAGCUGACAGAGGAAGUUCGCAGCCUGUGGGACAUACAGCAGCAGUGCCUCGAGGAGGAGCGGCGGUCUCAGGCGACGAAUCAACACCUCCUGCAGCUGUUGCUGGCUGCACUUGCUCAUGGUGCAAGCCAAGCCCCUCACCCAUUUCAGGCCCCUCAUUAAAUGUAAAGAAGCAUAGGCA